CGGGACGGGUGAGUAACGCGUGGGUAACCUGCCUCAUACAGGGGGAGUAACAGUUAGAAAAUGACUGCUAAUACCGCAUAAGCGCACAGUGCUGCAUGGCACAGUGUGAAAAACUCCGGUGGUAUGAGAUGGACCCGCGUCUGAUUAGCUAGUUGGUGGGGUAACGGCCUACCAAGGCGACGAUCAGUAGCCGGCCUGAGAGGGUGAACGGCCACAUUGGGACUGAGACACGGCCCAAACUCCUACGGGAGGCAGCAUG
rnacentral:rRNA from 1 species